UGCAAGUCGAACGCGAAAGGGACUUCGGUCCUGAGUAGAGUGGCGCACGGGUGAGUAACGCGUAGAUAAUCUACCUUCUUGUUUGGGAUAACCAGCCGAAAGGCUGGCUAAUACCGGAUACACUUUNGAAGGCGCGAGUUUUCGGGAGGAAAGGUGCCCUCUGAUUCAAGGUGCCGCAGGGAGACGAGUCUGCGUACCAUUAGCUAGUUGGUGGGGUAAUGGCCCACCAAGGCGAUGAUGGUUAGCGGGUCUGAGAGGAUGAUCCGCCACACUGGAACUGGAACACGGACCAGACUCCUACGGGAGGCAGCAGUGAGGAAUUUUGCGCAAUG
rnacentral:rRNA from 1 species